UACGUAGGGUGCAAGCGUUAAUCGGAAUUCCUGGGCGUAAAGCGUGCGCAGGCGGUUUUGCAAGACAGAUGUGAAAUCCCCGGGCUUAACCUGGGAACUGCAUUUGUGACUGCAAGGCUAGAGUGUGUCAGAGGGAGGUGGAAUUCCGCGUGUAGCAGUGAAAUGCGUAGAGAUGCGGAGGAACACCGAUGGCGAAGGCGGUCUGCUGGGCAGUUUCUGACACUGAUGCGCGACAGCGUGGGGAGCAAACAGG
rnacentral:rRNA from 1 species